AUUGAACGCUGGCGGCAGGCCUAACACAUGCAAGUCGAACGAGUGGGGACGGGUGAGUAACACGUGGGUAACCUCCCAUCAGAGGGGAGAACACUUGGAAACAGGUGCUAAACCGAUAUUGAUGGAUGGACCCGAGGGGCAUUAGCUAGUUGGUGAGGUAACGGCUCACCAAGGCCACGAUGCAUAGCCGACCGGGGAGGGUGAUCUGCCAAACUGGGACUGGUACACGGCCCAGACUCCUCCGUGAGGCAGCAGUAGGGAAUCUUCGGCAAUGGACGAAAGUCUGACCCAGCAACGCCGCGUGAGUGAAGAAGGUUUUCGGAUCGUAAAACUCUGUUGUUAGAGAAGCGGUAUCUAACCAGAAAGCCACGGCUAACUACGUGCCAGCAGCCGCGGUAAUUC
rnacentral:rRNA from 1 species